UACGGGGGGGCAAGCGUUGUUCGGAAUUACUGGGCGUAAAGGGUUCGUAGGUGGCUCGCUAAGUCAGACGUGAAAUCCCUCAGCUUAACUGGGGAACUGCGUCUGAGACUGAUGAGCUUGAGUGCAGGAGAGGAACGCGGAAUUCCAGGUGUAGCGGUGAAAUGCGUAGAUAUUGGGAGGAACACCAGUGGCGAAGGCGGCUACCUGGACCGGUUCUGACGCUGAGGCGCGAAAGCGUGGGUAGCAAACAGG
rnacentral:rRNA from 1 species